UCAAUUAAAUACAGUUGGUACUUGAAGAGAUUAUCUACGUAAAGCAUCUUUGUAAUUGUUAACACUGUAAGCAUUAGAUGAUAUAUAGAUGAUGCAGUACUAUUAAAAAUUUCCCUUUUGCAGGCUAGAGAGAUGGCUCAGAGGUUAAGAGCACUGGCUGCUCUUCCAGAGGUCCCGAGUUCAAUUCCCAGCACCUACAUGAUGGCCCACAACAAUCUAUACUGGGAUCUGAUGCCCUCUUUUGGAAUGCAGGUAUGUGGCAAGAGAACAUGGAAAGACCAGAGUUUGACAAUGGGUAUCCUCUUGAUCCAGCUACUCCAGCUACCCAGACCACACCAGGGACCUCACACCUGCACCUUCUCAGUGCUAGGAUUACAGCACUAACCUCAACAGCCAAGAAACCAAGCUAAGUGUCCAUAUACUCAUGAAGACAAUAUGGUUCAACCAUAAUGAAGCACAAAAUUCUGCAUUCGACACAGCACUGAUGGAAAUGGAGACCCUCAGGAUAAAUUAAAUAAGCUAGGCACAGAAAAAGGAAAUAACAUAAAACCUCACUGGUAUGUACAGUUCAAAAAUGUUGCUGUCUUAGAAAUUCAGAGUAUAAUGGCAGUAUCUGGGAAUGCCUGGGAGAGGGGGAAGGAGGAGAGGCUGGUGAUCAAUGAUCAACUUAUUUACAGUUAAGUAGAAGCAAGAAGCUCUGUUAUUGCUUAUGAGACUAUAGAUAGUAUACAAUGGAUUCCAAAACAUUAGAAAAAGAGUUAAUAAUGAGGAUACAGACAAGUUCAACUCAUUUAAGUGCUACACCAAGUAUACAUGUACUAAAAUAAAUGAUGCAGUUAAAUAUACACACACACACACAAACCUAUUGAGCCACCUGCCAAAUCCAGGGUUGCUAGGGCAAACAAACAAAAGAAUCUUGCCUCAGGGAACUAAAUCCUGUAGAGAAUGCUGGGAGGUUAUAUGGAAACAGGAAGCUGUUCUUAUUCCAGACUGGAAUGGGGACAUGAGAUGAUCUCACCCACGCUAGUGGAAGGCCAGCGUCUUCAUCUCUAGGCUCUAGCCGAGAACAAGCUUUUACCCACUGAUUAAAUAAAGUCAACUAUAGGUCAAGAGGCGGAGCAAGCAACCAGUUGACAGGAAUUGAGUACGAACAUGUCUUCUGCGAAGCGUCAUCUAGAACCUGAUGGAAACAGAUGCAGAGAUCUACAGCCAAACAUUAGGAAGAGCUCCCUGGGAGACUUGUGGAAGAGUAGGGCUGGGCGGCCUUGUCUAGCCUCAGUGGGAGAGGAUGCACUUAGUCCUGCUGCGACUUGAUGUCAGGGCAGUCAGAGGAAGCAUCUCUGAGAAAGUAAAUACAGGUACAACAUUCUGAGAAGGGGAGAUGGGUAUGUGAGGGUGGGACUGGGAAGAAAGGAGAGCUGUGGUCGGGAUGUAAGGUGAAUAAAUAAUAAAAAAGGAAAAGAAAAACUUAGAGUAAGAGGGAGUCAGGAGGGUGGGUGUGAGAGAGGGAAUUCCUCUUGGGACGUCUGCUGAGGAGGAAGGUCAGCUGGGAUUUCUCUUUGCUCAGAGAGGAGUUAGCAGCUUUCACCCUAGCAUCUGGGUCUUGAGUCUUCAUUGGUAAAACAGAACGACUGAGACUUGGUUAAAAAACAACAAUAAAGUGAUAAAUCUGACCUUUCAAAUUUGUCCUCUGAGCUUCAGUAAAAUUCAUAAACUAAACAAAUGCAAGAAACCACUGCAUGAACGAGCUCAUAAGACUUUGUAACUUAUAACAUGCUUUUCCCUAUCAGGGCAAGCAUUUAAAUAAACAGGAAAAACUAUAACUAAAUACACAAAUUAAAGAUUCUUUUGUCAUUUCUGGCACUGACGUCAGGCUCUAACAAAAAAUAUGCUUGACAUGCUUGACAUUAAUUAAAGUCUUUGAUUCUGAUGCCCUGAAUUUGAAAAUGAAAGAAAUAGCAUAUGGACUAAGGAUCAAACAAAAUGCCACUGGGGUUUAAAAAAGCAAGCACAUAAUUUUCUGUGAUUCUGUAUAUAGUAGAAUUUAUUAACCAUUUGCCAUGUAUUAGACAUUUUUCUAAGAACGUCACAUGUAAGAAACAUGUGAGUAUAAAUAUAUUAUCUUUAAAAUCCUGUAUUUCCUUGGAAAUGAACACAAAUAUUAUGCAUCAAUUCCAAAGGAUACUUCAACACAGAAAUUUGAUAAAAAUCCAUUUUUAUUUUUAAGUUUUAAAUAUUACAGAUACUAGGAAGAAAAAAAGUACCUAAUCUCAUAGAAGCUAAAAUAAAUAAAUAGCUUGUAGCUUCUCUGACAGUAGAAGAGGGAAAAAAUAAAGCAGCAAGAAAAGGAUGAUGUAAUAGUUUAGGGUGGUACUCUUUAGAUGGACAGUCAGAGGACGCAUCUCUGAGAAAGUAACACACACACACGCACACACACACACACACACACACACACACACACCACUGAAAUGUUCAACUCGGCUGUAUAAUUAACUUGAUCUGAGACAGAGAAUGAAAAACGUUGUUCUCAGAAAAACUUCAUUUACUUUAAAUCCCCACCCUCAUUUGUACAGUUCCUCACAAAAAAUAAAUCUGCAGCUGUUCUGGUUUUGGAUUCCUACCAAGAUACCGACUCUAUGCUCACAUGAAAAAACAGUAGUAAGAAUAUUUUUGCAAGAGGGGGGAGGGGAAGAAGGGAAUACUUUUGUUCUCAUACUCAUUAUUUUUGAAUAAAUGCCUAAAUUUUACUUUUAUUAUCUGCUAUAUAAAUCAAUAACUUCUUUAAAAGCAGUUAAAAUAAAUAUGAACCAAGAACGAAUAUAACAACUUAGUA